rnacentral:lncRNA from 1 species
UCAGGCUACAAUGGCCUGAUAACAUACAAAGCAUGAAGUCUCCAUGUUCAUAUUUGUUAGGAAGUCAUUUGUGACCUUAGAUAUGAUCUAUUUUGGAGACAGUUUCAUCAACAGGUGACAAUAAAGUGUAAUUAGCUAUUGUUAAAGUAUCUCAGAUAUUUGUUAUGUCCAUUUUUUGUAUACUGUGCUUUAACUACAGGUCAGUUUUUUCCUUCUAAAAUGAGGGCUGAUUUUGUAACAGAAAGGUAAAUGUGGGCACGUAUAAUCAGUUUCACAUGAUUUCAGGAACUUGGAUUAACAAAUGGUGGCAAAUCUGUUGGCACUGGAUUUGGAGAGAGUGGAAUUGGUAAUACAAUGAUCAAACCGAAAGAUGAUAACUGGGUUUGAUGACUCACACCUGUGAUUCCAGGGAGGCAGGAGGAUUGUGAGUUCAAAGCCAGCCUCAGCAGUCAAGUGGUGUCCUGAACAACUUGACAAGAUCCUGUGCCCAAGUAAAAUAUGUUUUAAAAAGCUGGGGUUGUGCCUAAGUGGAGAAGUGCUGGGUUCAAUUCCUGGUACAAAAAAUUACAAUGAUUGUGUAAGUUGGAU